GAGAGUAUGACUCAGUGGUAGAGUGUGUGCCGAGCAAGCAUAAGGUCUGGGUUCGAUCCCCAGUACCUCCA
rnacentral:tRNA from 1 species